rnacentral:rRNA from 1 species
UACAGAGGUUCCGAGCGUUGUUCGGAUUCACUGGGCGUAAAGGGCGCGCAGGUGGCCUGUCAAGUUUAAUGUGAAAGCCCCGGGCUUAACCUGGGAAUGGCAUUUGGGACUGCAAGGCUUGAGUGCGGCAGAGGAGACUGGAAUUCCUGGUGUAGCAGUGAAAUGCGUAGAUAUCAGGAGGAAUACCGAUGGCGAAGGCAGGUCUCUGGGCUGACACUGACGCUCAUGCACGAAAGCGUGGGGAGCAAACAGG